GAUGCUCGCGCUCCUCCGCCUGCGGGGCCGGCCCGGGCCCCGCCGCGCUGGUCCCGGCAGCAUUGCGGUCCGGCGGCGCGCCCCGCCCGCGGCUCCCGAGAGCGCGAGGCAGCAGGACACGGCGAGCGGUUAUGUAAGCGCAUCCCCUGCUCGGCCUUGCGGCCGCCACCCCCAAAAUGCUACACAGCCCGGGAGGCAGCGACGCGAAGGCGGCGGCCGGAUGAGCAGAGAACCCCUUCCAGCUCAGCCCACGCCGAACCAUCCUCCUCCGUCCGGUGCGCUCUCCCCCAAAUCCAGAGCGAGGGUUCCGCGCAGUGGUGUCUUCGGACGCUGCAGGAUCUCGCAAGCUUGUUUUGUUUUUCCGCGGAGGAGCAUGGGCGGGGGUUUAAGGCGUUUGGAAGCCUUAAUCCCUACCCACUGUCCACCAAAGCGUCCUGACGUCCUGAAGCCAUGCGGUGAAUGAACGAGCUCCUGAAGUGGAACUGCACCCUGAGGCCACCGUUGUUGUCAGUGGCUGGCCCAGUUUGAGCCAGGGCUCUUUGCCCAACUCCAGCAGGCUUUUGCCUCCCUUUGACAGGACGCAGCAGUGAGCCUACCUGACUUCUGCCAAACCUCCAAAGGCCUUCUUCCUCAAGGACUCCAGGGCCAGCUUCCGUGCUCUCUUCCCACCCUGCUACAGAAGUAGAUAGUAAAGAACACUCUAGAUAAAAUAUGACAGUCCCUCAAAGGCGGAUUGUCUCAGGCAGAAAUGCGUGUGGCAUCUGAGAACUAUUUGCACACACACAUAGACACACACAGGUCUCCAUACCCUUGGGGGGGGGGGCAGACCCCCGCCCUCUUUCCUCUUAAAUCAGAAAGGAGUGGCAAUGUUGACACUCAGUGACCUUCGGCCUCCUUCUCAGAGAGACAGCAGGUCAUCACCCAUAGAAGAAAGGAAGUGAAAGAAAAAGUUCAAGUCUUCAUAGAGUACAAAUGCUGAGAUCGAAAGACCAACAGGGAGGGAAGGAAGUCCACGCGCCAAGCCGGACAAGCAGGUCUCCACGUGCGUGCCUGCCUGCAGGGAGGAAUCGGUCUCCAUUUUACCCGUAAGUCUUCCUGCAGGGGGGAACAGGUGAAUGGAAAGAAACAGACCAAGCCCUAAUGACAUCACUGUCCAUCUUCCCCGCCACCAUCAGCCCACUUCCCUCACAACACUGAUGAAAGGAAAAAAAAGAAAGACUCCAAAGGAACACACGCCACAAACUCCGUGGUAAUGUGAAUCACUCCUGUAGGACAUGAUUCUCCAUCCCAGAAAAGCCAGCAGCACCUUUACAACACACAGAGAUCAAAGCUGGAGACUGGGGAACUGGCUCACAUGAUGCUUCUCCCCUAAGAUGAGGAUCUGAUGUUUAUGGGAAAGAAAACAGGGAACAGGUGGAGCAUUAAACCUCUGUGUGUCCUCUGGUGGGACUUUGAAAACGCUAAACUCAUCUCUGUGCAGGGCCUAAUAAUUGAAAAUGUGUCCUUAAAGCUGCUCUUCUCCAAGGCCUACUUUGGAUCAUGGCUAGGUGACAGGUGUCCUUCUGGGUCACUACUUCCUCCACAAAAUAAAUAUGCUACAGGAAAGGCAUUGGCGUGGGGGCACUAAGGGGUCUUUAUUCCCUUUCAUCUCCCCAAUAUCUAUUAGGCUCCCCCAUUUUGAUAUAGUUGUUACCCAGUUUUAUAUUGGAUACUAUACAAAUACAGCUCAGACCUCCCUCCUAGCCACACCGUUUCCUACCAGACCUCUCUGUGUAGUCAUUGUUUCUGGGCAAGGCUGGAGGGAAGGCCACAACUGGCUCCUUUGGGCGAACAUGCAAUCUCCUGAUGCAACUGAUCUACCUUAGGCUUUUAGGGAAACAGUGGUCUAGGCUAAGGCAGUCUGAAUUAGGUGUCUUGUCUCUUGCAACUAAAUAAAACAAACAAACAAACAAGUUUCCAAUAAGAUGCACAUCCAUGGGCCAUCGGGCUGAUUCAGAGAUAACCACAGACCCCAGAUAAAGUGGAGGAAACUAGGAGUUCUCUGGAUUGGCCAGGGAGAGAGGCUACCAGAAGCUGACCUGAAACUGGAAGAUGCCACCUGAGCAAAGAUGUUUACUGAUAAUAAUAUUAAUGCAAAUAAAAAUAGAGAGAAAUCAAGACACCAAUGGAAUAA
rnacentral:lncRNA from 1 species